rnacentral:rRNA from 1 species
GAGUUUGAUCGUGGCUCAGGACGAACGCUGGCGGCGUGCCUAAUACAUGCAAGUCGAGCGGAUCUUCAUUAGCUUGCUUUUGAAGAUCAGCGGCGGACGGGUGAGUAACACGUGGGCAACCUGCCUGUAAGACUGGGAUAACUUCGGGAAACCGGAGCUAAUACCGGAUGAUCCUUUUCCUCUCAUGAGGAAAAGCUGAAAGACGGUUUCGGCUGUCACUUACAGAUGGGCCCGCGGCGCAUUAGCUAGUUGGUGAGGUAACGGCUCACCAAGGCGACGAUGCGUAGCCGACCUGAGAGGGUGAUCGGCCACACUGGGACUGAGACGCGGCCCAGACUCCUACGGGAGGCAGCAGUAGGGAAUCUUCCGCAAUGGACGAAAGUCUGACGGAGCAACGCCGCGUGAGCGAUGAAGGCC